rnacentral:sRNA from 1 species
GGAAGAGCAGUGUCGCGCCAUGGCCAGGGCCCGCAGGCUGGAGCUGGCCGAGGCUCUGGCGCUGGGGCCAGGCUGGAGGCAUGCCUGCUAUGCGCUCCUGCACGCGCCGGACCCUGGAAUUCUCUUUGGCCGCCUCCCUCUGCGCUACGCCAUACUGGUGAGGAGGGGGCGCGCCUGGUCACUCUCCACUGUGGCCCUGCACCCUCCUUGGCGGCGCUACUCUUGGGUGUCCCUGCCAAUCCCAGCUUCCUCCUCUCUCAGAUGCAGAUGCGCUUCGAUGGGCGCCUGGGCUUCCCUGGCGGAUUCGUGGACUCGCAAGACAGCAGCCUGGAGGACGGGCUGAACCGUGGUCUGCUGGAACAGCUGGGCGAGGCGGCGGCCGCCUUCCGCGUGGAGCGCCCUGACUACCGCAGCUCCCACGCCGGAUCAGGGCCACGCGUUGUGGCCCACUUCUAUUCCAAGUCUCUGACGCUCGAGCAGCUGUCGGCUGUGGAGGCCAGCGCAACAGGCGCCAAGGACCACGGGCUGGAGGUGCUGGGCCUGGUGCGAGUGCCCCUGUAUACCCUGCAUGAUGGUGUGGGAGGCCUGCCCAUCUUUCUGGAGAAUUGCUUUAUUGGUGCUGCCCGGGAGCAGUUACUGGAUACCCUCCAGGACUUGGGAGUGGUGGAAGCUGGUGCUUUCUCAGGCCUUCAGAUCCCAGUUCGUCUGAGGCAACCCUCUGUGGACUCAGGGAACCUGAGAUGAGGACUUUGGUACAAGGAAGGGAAUGUUUUCUCUUCUGGAUCUAAAGAUGAUACCAAAUUAAACGAAGACAUGUAUAUCAUAUGUUUUGAGCAGAGGACCUUCCAAAUCAUGGGAUCAGGGGCAAAAAUCCACAGCUCAUCCCAGGGGCCCUGGCAGGUUCUCAGAGCCUACCCCUUCCUUGUACAUUUGCACACAGCCUUGUAACCACCAGGCAUGCAUAUGUACAAUGUGACCACACACAGCCUGACAUCUUUCACCUAUCAAGUCCAAUUUAACCAGGAAUUGGCAUUUGUUACCAUACCCUGCCUCUUGCUUUGCAGAGAGCUUCUACAGCAAGGGUGAGUCCUUCCCACAGUCCUCCAUGGCUGCUCUUUAGGGUCUAGCCCAGCCCAUGUUUUUUGGGAAGGAUAGAGAAGCAGAGGACCCUCUUUGCUUUACUGAAAGUAGCCAUGCCCUUGCUGGAGGGUUCACCACAGCAAUUGGUGGGAGAGGGUCUUAACCGAUCUCCAACACUUUUCUUCUCCUGAAACUGAGAAGGGGUAAGGAAGUAGCUAGGUCCCCUUGGACGGAGCAUAGACGUGAGACCUGUGAGUACUGGUGUCUCUCCUUCAGAGCUUUCAUCUUUGGUUCGCUGUAGACUCUGGGACUAUCAGAAGAGAACUGACCCAUACCUGUCUAGCCCUGCCCUGCCAAAAAAAGAGCCUCCCAUUAAAGAGGAGUUAGAGCUGGGCCUUGAGGCUCUUCACUUCUUUCAACAGAUAUUUAAUACGUACCUACUAAAUGCCAGGUACUAUAAAAGGUAUAGAGAGCCAUCCUUGCUCUCCAAGACUCCAGGGAAGGGAUGGGCAAACAUUUUCUUAAAAGCCAGAUAGCAAAUAUUUUAAGCUUUGUAAACUACAUAGUUUUUAAAAAAAUAUUUUCUAACAUUGACUAAUAAAAAUUGCCUAUGUUUACUGUGUACAAAA